GGGCCAAACAAAAUGCCUGAAUAUUUCACAAACAACCACAAGCAGUCUGGGCUCUACGGGCUGGAGCUUUCAGGCCUGCACAGAAAUGGUCAUGCCCUUUUGUACUAAUGGUAUUGAUGACAUGUUUGAACCCUAUCUGUGGGACUUGGAGACGUAUUCCAAUGACUGUUUUAACCAAUGGGGAGUGAAACCACGGCCUCAUUGGAUGACUACCAUGUAUGGUGGCAAAAACAUCAGUUCACACUCCAACAUCAUUUUCAGAACACGAUCAGAAGAUAGCACAACAUCAGCACAACUGAGUCAUAGAACCUGGCAAAACCAAGCUGUAUGGACCUGGAAACUCCAUCCCUGCUGGCUAGCUUUCAUUGUGCUUGAAGGUGUUGAACAAGCUACUAGAGAAAGAAACAAAUCAUUACCAGUCAUCAAUCAUACAUACCCAGCUAUGAAACCUGUGAGCUACAAUACUGGUCACUCAAGAUAUGCCCAAUGGUGCACUAGUGGCACAAACAUUAUGGCAGUUAUCAGCCACUUUCUCAUUGGAUUUAAGACCAGCUCCACAAGGUGAAACCCAUACCCAGCAUCAUUAUCAGUGGAGAACAUAGUGUAGACAUGCCAUAGACCCUAGGGAAGAAGAGAUUAAUGCACCUCUCAACUCUCAUUUAAAUAUUUUCCUUUUAAU
rnacentral:lncRNA from 1 species